UACGUAGGGGGCAAGCGUUGUCCGGAAUCAUUGGGCGUAAAGAGCGUGUAGGCGGCCCGGUAAGUCCGCUGUGAAAGUCCAGGGCUCAACCCUGGGAUGCCGGUGGAUACUGUCGGGCUCGAGUCCGGAAGAGGAGUGUGGAAUUCCUGGUGUAGCGGUGAAAUGCGCAGAUAUCAGGAGGAACACCAAUGGCGAAGGCAGCACUCUGGGACGUGACUGACGCUGAGACGCGAAAGCGAGGGGAGCAAACAGG
rnacentral:rRNA from 1 species